ensembl:lncRNA
UGGACCUGCAGCUCCUCAGAUGUCUGUGCUCACAUCCUGUCAUCUCUAGCUUCUGAUGGAGGGUGUUCUGGGUGUUACGCUGCAUCUGUGUGUGUGCAAACUGAUGAGCAGCAUGCUGUUGUGUUCGUCUGUAAUCACACACACCAUCACUGCGGUCAGUCUGUGCUGCAGCUGCCUGCUGUUAUUUACAGACCUCGCUGUCACUGACUGAUUGUUUCCCUUCAUAAGAUCUUAUUAUAUCAUAAGGAGCCACAGUGUUUUUGCUCUACAUCUGGUUCAUGGAGUCCUGGUUGACGCCUUUUUACGCGUCUUCGGAUGUCAUCGCCCUUCGAUUUCUGCUCUUCCUUUGCAAGGCCUAUGGAGUUGUGUUACUGCUGAUGCCGCCUUUGAUUGCUGUGGAGUUGUUGGUUGAUCUGCUGUGUCCUCAAAGUGGGCGAACGAAGGGUAGAGAUGCAAGCGAAUCCCUCUCUAGUACAGUUGGCUAUUUGGGAUGUUUUCUAGCAUGGAGCAUG